rnacentral:rRNA from 1 species
CCACGGGGUGCUCCAGUGGGGAAUAUUGCACAAUGGGCGCAAGCCUGAUGCAGCCAUGCCGCGUGUAUGAAGAAGGCCUUCGGGUUGUAAAGUACUUUCAGCGGGGAGGAAGGGAGUAAAGUUAAUACCUUUGCUCAUUGACGUUACCUGCAGAAGAAGCACCGGCUAACUCCGUGCCAGCAGCCGCGGUAAUACGGAGGGUGCAAGCGUUAAUCGGAAUUACUGGGCGUAAAGCGCACGCAGGCGGUUUGUUAAGUCAGAUGUGAAAUCCCCGGGCUCAACCUGGGAACUGCAUCUGAUACUGGCAAGCUUGAGUCUCGUAGAGGGGGGUAGAAUUCCAGGUGUAGCGGUGAAAUGCGUAGAGAUCUGGAGGAAUACCGGUGGCGAAGGCGGCCCCCUGGACGAAGACUGACGCUCAGGUGCGAAAGCGUGGGGAGCAAACAGGAUUAGAUACCCCCGUAGUC